UACGUAGGGGGCAAGCGUUGUCCGGAUUUAUUGGGCGUAAAGAGCGUGUAGGCGGCCACACAGGUCUGCUGUGAAAACUCGAGGCUCAACCUCGAGCUGUCGGUGGAAACCGUGUGGCUAGAGUCCGGAAGAGGAGAGUGGAAUUCCCGGUGUAGCGGUGAAAUGCGCAGAUAUCGGGAAGAACACCCGUGGCGAAGGCGGCGAUCUGGGAAGAUACUGACGCUGAGGUGCGAAAGCGUGGGGAGCAAACAGG
rnacentral:rRNA from 1 species